UUUUUUUUUUUUUUUUUUCUUUUUUGUCUAUUUAGGGCUGCACCCACGGCAUGUGGAGGUUCCCAGGCUAGGGGUCAAAUCAGAGCUGUAGAUGCCACCUACACCACAGCCACAGCAAUGCCAGGUCCUUAACCCACUGAGCGAGGCCAGGGAUCGAACCCUCAACUUCAUGGUUCCUAGUCAGAUUUGCUUCCACUGUACCACAACGGGAACUCCUCACUCUAUUUCUUAAGUUGGUUAUUUGCUAUUGUUACUGUUCGCGGUAAUUGUGUGCCAGUGAUCUUUUAUUACUAACAUGCCAUAAUAAUACUGCUUCUCCUGUCACUGUCUCUCAUCCCCCAAGCCUGUAAUGUGGGUACUGUUAUUAUUUCUAUUUUACAAAUGAGCCAUUUGGGCCUCAGAGCAGGAUCUGAAGCCACGUGGUGGAGGUGACCCUGCCUCUGUCCUUCGAGCAGCUUUGUCUGCCUCCUGUACUCAUACGUCUCGUUAAUCCUGACAUCUGGACCCGGUUCUCCCCAUUUCAUAGAGGAGGGAAAUCAAGAGCCCGAGAGGGUAAGGAAGGUGAAGGUGCCAGAGCUGCACAGCUGUGAAUUGCAAAGCUGGAAUGUCACCCCUUGGUUCCUGCCACGCUACCCCAGGCUUGCAGGAGCCCCAAAGGGUCGGCACAGGAGAGUGUGGCCUGAUCCCAGAGGCUGGAGGGCAGCUUCUGCAGGGCUUCAGGAAAGCACAGGAGUGGGCCUGGAGCUCGGUGGAGCCAGGGCCCAGCUUGCUCGUUGGGAGAUAAAACGGAGCGGAGAGUGAGGCUCUAGAAUUUCUGAUACUAAGGCAGGGAAUCAGGGACUGUUUUCUGACAGUGAUCUCGCAUCCCAGCUGACGCAGGGCCCCCUGGAUUCCCGCUAGCUGUGCUUUUGUGAGAAGUAUGUACGGUGCAGGAGCCAGCACCCUGUGGGUUCUGCAGUGGAGCCGCUGGCCUGAGAGCUCUGUUCUCUGUGACCUUGGAAAGGUACUCAGCCUUUCUGGGCACCUGUUUUCUCAUCCUAGAUAUGGGGACUGUAGCAGAACCCACCUCUUGUGAUGCCAGGGCCAUGGAAACAAGUUAGUACCAGUGAUGCGCUCGGAGCAGUGCCCAGCACCUGUUCCAUAGCGUGGGUUACUUCGAAAGAUCAGGCUCAUCUGUCUGGCUGAGCAAUUGUUCCACCUUUCUGAGCAUCGGCCGCCCCCUCUCCCUGCUUCUCUGACCCCAAAGCCUCCCGCGACCACGUCUCUUCUUUUAGAUUUGUUCCCUGAGUCCCCUGUCCUGCAAGCCCCAGGGCCUGUUUCUGUUUGUCCAUACACUGAGCUCUGAGCCUGAGAGGAGCGAGAAGGUUCGCUUCUGUCCUGAGUGGUGAGUGACGUGAGUGACUUAUCCAGGACGGCGAUAGUGUCCUGGGAGCACUGGACGCUUGCUCAGGCCCGUUAGGAGUCCAGGAGGAAAAUGUAGCCCCGGGAAAGCCCGCUUCAUUUCACACCCUCCUCCUCCUCCGUUUUAUUUCCGGGUCUGGCAAAGGGUCACAGGUUCUAAGUCAGACUAGAAGACAGGUUCUCCAACUUCACCUGCUUCAGGAUCUGGGGGGACCAGCUCUCAGACCUCAUCUUAAAGGGGCUGCCAGGAGUUCCCUGGUGGCUGAGCUGUUAAAGAGCCUGCAUUGUCACUGCCGUGGCUCUGGUCACUGCCACGGUGCAGGUUUGAUCCGUGGCCUGGGAACGUCCACAUGACACAAGUGCAGCCAAAAAAAAGGUGUAAAAUAUAGCUGAUCCAGAAUGAGACCCAGGGGUCUGCAUGUUUACCAAGCAGUGCAGUGAUGCGUGGAUGACACCUUGAGGAAAGUUGAUCUAAAGCAAAAGGGUCAGCAAACUACAGCCCAAGGGACGCCAAAGCCAGCUGAUUCCCCUCCCCCCAUUUUUGCUUUUUACAGCUGCACCUGUGACACGUGAAAUUUCCCGGGCCAGGGGUCAGUCAGAGCUGUAGCCUCGGCCCACAUAAUAGCCGCAGCAACACCGGAUCUGAGCUGCGUCUCUGACCUACUCUGCAGCUAGUGGCAAUGCCAGAUUGUUUUUUGUUUUUUUUUUUUUUCCUUUCUUUCUUGUCUUUUUGCCAUUUCUUGGGCCACUCCCGCGGCAUAUGGGGGUUCCCAGGCUAGGGGUCGAAUCGGAGCUGUAGCUGCCGGCCUACGCCAGAGCCACAGCAACGCGGGAUCUGAGCCUUGUCUGCAACCUACACUAUAGCUCACGGCAACGCCGGAUCCUUAACCCGCUGAGCAAGGCCAGGGAUCGAACUCGGAACCUCAAGGUUCCUAGUCGGAUUCGUUAACCACUGAGCCACGAUGGGAACUCCAACACCAGAUUCUUAACCUGCUGAGCCAGACCAGGGAUCAAACCUGCAUCCUCACAGAGACAACCUUGGGUUCUUAACUCUCUGAGCCACACGGGAACUCCCCCCUCCCCAUUUUUCACACUUGGAAUUAUGAGAACACAGCCUUGCCUGAUUGGCUCCGUUCUGUCCCUGCCUGCUCUCAAGCUACGAUAGCAAAGUUGAGUCGCUGCAGCAGAGAUCAGCCGGCCCACCUGAAGUGUUUACUGUUCCGCCCUGUGCGGGAAAAGUUUGCCCCUUCAUGAUCUAGAGGGUUUUCUAGAAGCCCAGGCCGGAGAUCAUGGAACGCGUGUGGGGCACAAGCAGCGAACGGUGAGCCUCCCCUGAGCCUGGACCAGCUUCUGUGCUGAGGGUUUGGGGAUCCUCUCACUCAAAGGGAAUCGGGACUCCGAGAGGUGGUGAGCGCCGCAUCACAAGGGCCCAGAGCAAGUGAGGACUGGAGCCAGAGCCGGGCACCUGCCCGUUCCAGCCGCCAUCCCCGCCCCCACCCAAGCAGGUCCCUUUCCUCGGAUUGUGUUCGAACGGGCCAAGCUGGUGGGCGCCUCCUCCUCUGAACACCGUCUCCGUGGGUCUCUUGCCCUGUAGUGCCGCGGCAAGAGCUGUGACAGUGACAGUAGCUACCAUAGCCGCCAGGGGAAGGAGAAGGGGCGGAGGAUGAAGGCAAGAGGGAGGAGAAGGCAGGAGGGACGGGAGCAGUAUCACUGUCCUAGUAGUUUUUGCGUCCGGAUGGUAGGUCUCUGGGCUUAGCAUUUUCUCUUCCUUUGUGUUACGUUUAAAAAUCUCCCAGGUUCGCUGUCUCCCCAUCUAUCACUUUAGAAGUGCAUCCAUCCAGGUAGGUCUCUCUGUUUUUUUCGCACUGUCUUAAGACGUAGUGACCUAAGUGCUCUUAGGAAAGUGACACAGCGUGGCCGGGAGUCAGUCUCUCUCAUACCUUCCUCCUGCCCCCAGGUCUUUUUUAUUUUUUAUUUUUUCAUUAAGAAAAUGGUAGCACCUCUCUGACUGUUUCCACGACUUCCCGAGGAGGCCUGAAAAUGAGAGUUAAACAAAUUACCCAUUACCGGGGCAGCCCCGUCUCCCCCGCCUCCCCGGCUCCAGGCAGAUUCCCAGCAUCUCCGUUCACCUCUAGGAGAGGCUCCCCAAGGUCACUAAAUGAAGUCUUCAGACAAUCGAAAAAUUGAAUCUCAGUACAUCUAUUUUCCUAACAAAGUUUCCGCAGCGCCGAUUGGGGGUGACAGGUGCGGCCGCGCAGCUUUCUGGGCUGUUCAGGUCGAUUUGGCCAAGCAGGAUGGCAUCAGCCUGGAUUGGAGGGAACAUCUGAGCAGCUCCGGGCCCCCAGGGAGGCGGAGAGCUCCCUCCUUGCCUCCGUAAAUGACUUUUCUGUUCCCUGGGCCGCCUGGCCUCCUCCUGCAUCCCCGUCCUCACCCCUGCCGCCUCCAGGUCACUCGCCUCUUCUUCAAUUAUUUAUCAAAAGGGCCACUGCGAUCAUUGCAAACACAUUUAGGAGUAUCUGAAAGGCGCUUUUUCUUCGAGGGCACUAAUGACGCCGCCGUAAUCACAGUCCUUGUUGGAGGGGACGGGAGGGGCGGGAUGCGAUAUUUAGGGAGUGGAGAUAGUGUAAGAGGGAGGGGAUUUGCUCCCAGUCCCUUGCAGCUGCCACAGCCUGGCUGGUGGAGCAGCCUGGAGACAGAGGAGUCCCCUAGGAGCUGGAGGCUCCGGACACCCCAGAUCUCUGAUUGCCAGCUCUGUGACUUUGGAGGUCACGUCCCCUGUUCAGCCUUCAUUCUCUCAUAUAUAAGCUGUGUCCCAGCCAGUGCUUUUACAGAGGCUGCACAUGUGUCCUGGAGGGUCUGGGACACACCCUGAGGUCACCCACCAUGAGCCUCUAAGAUUCCUCUUAAAAGCUCCAGGGAACUUUUAUUUUACCAGAAUAUUUAUGUUCAUGUAAAUGUAAAAAUGGCAUUUUAAUUCUCUUGUCUGUUCUAACACUGAUGCUCUGGGAAGAUGCACUGAGUUUAUUCUGUAGCUUGAAGUACCCACUGUCAGCCCACCUGGGUGCCCAUCCCCACUUGCCCAUGCCAGCAUCCAUGACCUGCCUGGAAGGAGAGAGGCUAAUAGAUACUUACCCUGGUAGGUGAAAGACCUAAUAGAUAGAUGAAAUUUUUUUUUCCUCAGCUAUGAAACAGUGAUAAUAUUGCUAUCUCUUUUUUUUUUUUUUUUGGUCUUUUUGCCUUUUCUAGGGCCACUCCCGAGGCAUGUGGAGGUUCCCAGGCUAGGGGUCGAAUCGGAGCUGCAGCCACCAGCCUACGCCAGAGCCAUAGCAACAUGGGAUCUGAGCCGCCUCUGCAACCCACACCACAGCUCACGGCAACACCGGAUCCUCAACUCACUGAGCAAGGCCAGGGAUUGAACCUGUAACCUCACGGUUCCUAGUCAGUUUCGUUAACCACUGCGCCACGACGGGAACUCCGCUAUCUCCAUUUUUAGGAGCAUUGAAAGGAUCCAAAAAGAAAAAUUUUAAACAGCAUAAAUAAUAACCCCUGGACACAAGUGCUCGUUGUAUACCAGCAAAAAUAGCAAUUACUAAUAUUACACCCAGAAGCUUUUAAUGAGCACGUGUCUGACGCACUCCUUUCCAAGCCCUAGAAUGGAAUCUCCUAGUUGAUACAGGACCUGCUACGGAGAGAAAAUCACGCUUGGCAGGUUCGAACAUCGUUGGUCCCCAUGUAACUUUUGUUUCUUGAAUAGCCCCCUUCUUAUCUUGCUCGUAGUGAUAGCCAGUUGGGUUGUUUGUAUCUCUUUUCAUCUUUGUUUUUUUUCUCUUCUAGGGGCACACCUGCAGCCUAUGGAAGUUACCUGGUUAGGGGUAGAAUCAGAGCUGUAGCUGCCGGUCUACACCACAGCCACCACAAUGCUCCAUCCUUAACCCACUGAGUGAGGCCAGGGAUCGAACCCCCAUCUUCCUGGAUACUAGCCAGGUUCUUAACAUGCUGAACCAUAACGGGAACUCCAAGGUUGCUUGUAUCUCUUUUUCCCAGAUUCAUGUACUCCUUCCUGAGUCUUUGUAGCAGUUAUCUAUUGCUGCCUAAUAAGUUACCCCAAAGCUUCCGGGUUUAAAACAAUAAGCAAAUAUCUUCUAUUUUCUAUGGGUCAGAAAUCAGAGAGUCGUUUAGCUAGGUGGCUCUGCCUUGGAGUCUCUAGUGAAGUUGUAGUGGAGCCAUUGGCGGGGGCUCUGGUCUCUCAAGGGUUAAUGGGCUGGAAGUUUCAGACCCAAAAUAGCGCACGCACGUGGCUUUGGGCGGGAGGACUCAGUUCUUCACCACGUGGGCCUUUCCACGGUGCUGCUCGGGCAUCCACAGAGUCUGGCUGGUGGCCAGCGAGCGAUCCCAGAGAGCGUGCCAGAGGGAGUUCUCAGGCCGUUUAGACCCUGGUCUGGGACAUCAGGCACUUCCAGUCAUCAGACCAGGGCCACUGAAGACGGCACUGGCCCCACCUGGAAGGAGGUUGUAAUCAUAGGUGGAAGUCCCGGCCGUCUGCCACUUCCCUCUGCUGCCUCUCAUGUGCGCGUGGAGGCUCCCUGGUCCUGCCCCAGACAAAGGCGUGAAACAUGGAAAAUGCAGCCAUCCCUUCCCUCUGCGUCAGGACAGUCGCCGCCUUUUCGGGCGGGGUCGUGAUGGGAGAGCGAACACCCUAAAGGGAGCCAUCUGUCACAGCGAGGUCGCAGAGGCCAGCGGGUCAGCGGCGGAGAUGACCCCCGAGAGGGGACCCUGCACGCCGUCCCGCACAUCCCGUCAGCGGAGGUCUCCAAAGGCGGAUUCCAUCCAGCUACAGCCGGCACGGCAGGGGCUUUUGAGAUCGCCGGUUUUAUUUUGCCCCCCUCCUCCCCGCCGCCGAGAGUAGGACACUUGCCUUGAAGAAUCAGUGCUUUGGACAGUGUGGGGGGUCCUCCCCUCAGUGUCUUUAGCUGGGCGUCGCUGGGAUCGAGGAAAGCAAAGCGACCGGGCUCAGCCUUCUCUCUCCCUCCGUCUUUUUAUGCCCGUCUCACACUCUCCUUCCUCCACUACAGACACGCGCCUCUCUUGACAACAGCCUGUCCAUCCCCGUCUCGUUCCUCCGCCUCCUUUUCCUCCUCCUCAUUCUUCUUAACCACGAGGAAAGAAAAUCGGGUCACAGUACCCACAAAGCGCAGCGAGGACCCCCUAGUUACUGUGACCCCGCUAGGCUCUCCGCGGCAGGGUCUCGUUUUCUGUGACUGCUCUUUGGUUCCUUUACUGGACACACGUUCCUUCCUCCUGUGUGUUGCCGACACGUGUCUGAGAAUCUUGAUCGCUUGUGUGGCGCUUCAGGUUUGCACAGCAGUUCAGCGAGUAGUGUUUCCUCAAUGCAUCCUCUGUGAAGCUGAGUGGGAUGGUACCCAUUUCCCAGAUGAGGACACCGAGGCUUAAGAGGACCAGUAAGUUACCCAGAAUCACACAGCUCCUGAGUGGCAGAGGGAACCCUCCAGCCAGGGUCUGCUGGCUCAUAAAUGUCAUGCUCUUCCCACGAGAGCCUACAGGCAGAAUAUACAUUCUUUGAGACCAAGUAUUGUGUUUUUCUCUGUUUUGAAUCCUGUUGGUUUUUGCCAAACAUUUUAGGUGAAUCAGUGAAUGAGUGAAUGAAUGAAGCCACGAUCUGUCGAGUCCAAAUGCUGCUCGUGUGCCUGAGUUACGGAGGUCUUGAAGUUCCUGCUUUGGACCCCAGUGCCACCAGGGCUGCUGUGGCCUGAAUGACAAAGAGACGCAGGCACUCCCCUCCUCCCAUAAAUCUUGCAAAUCAGCAUUGUCUGUGCAGAGCAGGGCCCAGGUGUCAUGACAGCAAACACCAAGAGACCCAGAAGGCUGAUGUGAGACAGUGCCUCCCGCCCCCCAAACACUGGCCGGUGCUAAGUCUGCAGAAUAUUUAAAUAAGGGGUUAAUUUAUAAAGUGAGCCCCAGGAAAGUUUCCAGGAUGGCCGUGCGUGUGCCUCAUAAAUCGGCACAAAUUGAAUCUAGCUUUCUGUGCCCGUCAGCUCCCAGGCAAACGGAAAUUUAUUGAGAGGUGUCUAGGUUGGCAUCGAAAGAAACACAGUCAAUGCAAAAAGUGCAUCCUCAGGGGCGUGUGAACCAGGGACGGAGGCUGGCAGAUGCAUCAGGUCCAGAAUGUCAAAUCCCCGCCACCAGGGAUUCGUUAAGUACAACCUCGUUUGUUGCGGGUGGAGGCCAGGUCCCAGCAAUCGCUGUCCUGUUCUCGAAGCUUCCACGGAGUCCUAAAUAGAGAAAGGAUUUUGUAUAUGGCGGAGGAUUUGUGGUUUGGGGGCAGGGUGGGGAGGAAGGUGCCGACAGGACCGCUAACCUUGGUGUUUUGCAUAUGUCGCAUUACUAGACUAGUUUAUCCGGGACCCAAAAUAUUGGGAAGGAUAGAAAUAUGAAGGUUUAGUUUUAUUGUUAUUUGGGUAUUAUUAUUAUGACUCUGCAUAGCAUUCCGGGAUGCCUCCUGCAUUCAUCCAAGGGAUCACAGCCAGGCCCUGUGCUGAGAACCUUAUACACGUUAUAUCCGGUUUUUUUCAAGGACUCAAUGCUUUCAGGAGGUCUGGAGGUUGUUGCAAAUGGGCCCAUUUUACGGAGGAGGCAAGUGAAGCUCCUAAAUUGAAGCCCAAGUAUCGUUAGCUACUACACGGAUUUGAGUCCCAUUUACCCUGUUCCAAAGGCUGCCCUUUUUUUUUUUUUUUUUUUUUUUUAAAUCCAACAUUGCUUCUCAUUAUUGUAGUGGUCUUUUCAUUAUCUAGGACACAAGUGCCAGCAUCUGGCAAAAUGUCUCUGGCUAGCCAGGUUAUUUAAUAUUUCAAUCUAACUUUUAUUCUUUUAGCUACAACCUGUGAAGGGAUGUGCAAAAUACCCUAAUGGUGAAAAGAGGCUUGAGUCCUGCCUAUUGAUAACUGCCGACUCCUCUGUAAGGGGGCCAGCAAGAAAGAUGGCUUUAAAAUACAAAGUGUCCAUGAGCAUAUUGGUGAAGUAGCUUCAUGUGGAAGAAAAAGCUGGAGAUAUGGUGGACCUGCCGUGAAGUCAAACAGUUGGAGCACUUAAGGAUGUGCGUAUACAAAUGGGCUUCAAGCCUUAUGUCAGUCCACUUGGCUAGACCACGUAGUAUGAUCGCAUUUCCAAGAAGAAACAGAGACGUUAAGCAGCUUGCCUAAGAACACACAGCACUUGGGGAGUUCACCCUUUACUAGUGUGUCCUCUUGAAGAUGUGGGCGAACUGGACCAGAAGGAAAAACUAAAGUAGGAAAAAAAAAAAAAAAA
ensembl:lncRNA